GUGGGGAAUCUUCCGCAAUGGACGAAAGUCUGACGGAGCGACGCCGCGUGAGUGAAGAAGGCCUUCGGGUCGUAAAGCUCUGUCAUCAGGGACGAACGGCCGGUGGAGUGGAAAGCCACCGGAUUGACGGUACCUGAGAAGGAAGCCACGGCUAACUACGUGCCAGCAGCCGCGGUAAUACGUAGGUGGCAAGCGUUUUCCGGAAUUAUUGGGCGUAAAGCGGGCGCAGGUGGGAGCUUAGGUCCAUUGUGAAAGUUCGGAGCUCAACUCCGUGAUGGGAUGGAAACUGGGAUUCUUGAGUACCGGAGAGGAAAGCGGAAUUCCCCGUGUAGCGGUGAAAUGCGUAGAUAUGGGGGGGAACACCAGUGGCGAAGGCGGCUUUCUGGACGGUGUCUGACACUGAGGCGCGAAAGCUAGGGGAGCGAACGGGAUUAGAAACCCUGGUAGUCC
rnacentral:rRNA from 1 species